rnacentral:rRNA from 1 species
ACACGUAGGGAGCAAGCGUUGUCCGGAUUUAUUGGGCGUAAAGAGCUCGUAGGCGGGUUUGUAAGUCGGAUGUGAAAACUCAGGGCUCAACCCUGAGACGCCAUCCGAUACUGCAAUGACUAGAGUCCGGUAAUGGAGCAUGGAAUUCCUGGUGUAGCGGUGGAAUGCGCAGAUAUCAGGAGGAACACCAGUGGCGAAGGCGGUGCUCUGGGCCGGUACUGACGCUGAGGAGCGAAAGCAUGGGGAGCAAACAGGAUUAGAAACCCUAGUAGUCC